UUAAAACGAUAUGGUCAUUGGAGAUGGAAUGUCAAUGUCUGAAGUUUGCAAAGCAAUUAUUAAUUACAGGCCAUAUCAGUUGUUUUUUAUGAAACACAAAGAUAUAUGAUUCAAACAAAACAUCAGUAAUUAUUAUAAAAGCAAUAGUUUUGUAUGACUCAGUAAAACUGACAACAUUUGUGUGAUUAAUGUUUAUUUAUAUUUGCAAUUAUUGUUAUAUUUAAAUCAUAUCAUUCUGUAGAAUAUUUAUUUCUCUUGUAUGAUACUUACAUUUAAUGUAAUUUACAUGUAUUUGUUUAUAUUUAUGUCUUGUUAACUUACAAAAAAAUUGAUUCAAGAUCUAUUGACAUUCAUUUAUUAUAACUGGUAUAUCAUUAUAUUAUAAGCUUGGACUAAUAUUACCAGCUUUUAAUUCAGCAUUAUUUCUUUUCGACCAAUUUAUGUAAUCCUAUAUAUGCCUGGUGAAAUAUUAUGCUAUUUAUUGAUGUUUGAAUCUUGUAAUUUAAAAAAAAAACAUGUGUCCUGAAAGGUGCUCAUUUAAAAGUUUUCUUACAGUGGUUUUUCUCCCCACUUUGGGCAUAUGACGCUGUAUACCUCUGAAAUAGGGAAUUUGAGCAUCAAUUUUUCUAUACAUUGUAAAUAAUAAUUGGGGGAAAUUUAUAUUGUUUAAUGAAAACUUUUCAACAAUUAUAGAUAGAACUAACAAAGCAUAAAAUCCUUUGCACAAACAUAUCAGUUUAGUGGAUAUUACUGCCUCAACAGUACACUCUUUAUAACUACACUUAACAGCCCUUUUUUAAAUAUUUUCAAGUCCAACCAUCAAUUAGAGAUGUUGGGACUGGGUUUUGGGAAUAAAAAAUACACUUUUGCCAUGGGAAUAUGACAGAAUAAUGGCUAUACAAUUAGCCAAAAAAAGCUCUGGCCUACAGCAUUUUCAAAGCAGCAUCCUGUGAUGAGUUGAAUUGACAUUCCAGAAAAAUACCAGAUAAUCUAUAAAAUAAUAAAUUAAAUUUCUGCCUUAUUUAAAUCUGUCCCAGACACCAUUUCGAAUUUCCAGUAUGUUUCUCAAUAAUUUCCUUUCUUUAGGUUUGAAAAGUCAAUAGUCAAAACUGCCUUGUAGGACCACAUGCUUGCAAGUCAGUUAUAUUUUGUUGAAGUAUGACCAUAACUCUUCAGUAUUUACAGAGUUAUUGCCCUUUGUUUGUUUUUCGUAUGAGGAGCAUAAAUUCAUAAGUAUCAGCGAGAUAAAAAAAUAUUAUAUUUUGGAGCAUUUCUCUUUACAAAUUACAUAUUGAGAGGAAUCUUACAAAUGUUCAUGUAAUAAUAACCCACUCUGAAAGGCAGUACAGAGUAUACAUGUAAAUACAUGAAUCAUAACACUUUCAUCAUUAUUUAAGAAUUUAUGCUUUUUGUUAAUUCUCUGUUUUCAAUUGUUAAAUCUCUGUUUUACCACACUUCUCCUAAACAUAUUUUUUCUGUUUAUUUGUAUUGAUCAAAUGUUUUUACACAAUUUAAUAAUAUAUAAAAUGUGAUAAUGACCUGUUCAAUUCAAUGUUUAUUCAAUGUGUUAUUUAACAAAUUAGACCAAAGGCUGGCUUACAUUGUUUAUCAAGUUCAACAUAACAUGGUCUGAAGUUAUAUCAAAUGUAGGAUGUUUUAAAUCUUAUUGAUGUUUUAGCAAUAAAAACUUUAAAUGAAGUUGCUUUAUCUUUCUAGUGUUUUUUUAUGUCCCCCACCACUAUAGUGGGGGACAUAUUGCUUUUGCCCUGUCUGUUGGUUGGUUGGUUUGUGUGUUUGUUUGCUCCAACUUUAUCAUUUGCCAUAACUUUUGCAAUAUUGAAGAUAGCAACUUGAUAUUUGGCAUGCAUGUGUAUCUCAUGGAGCUGCACAUUUUGAGUGGUGAAAAGUCAAGGUCAUCCUUCAAGGUCAAAGUUCAAAUAUAUGGGGACAUAGUGUUUCACAAACACACCGCUUGUUUUAACUAGACAAUGCCAUUGUUUAAUCAUGGAAAACUGUUUCCAAUAAAGCACUUAAAGAAAAGAUAUACCGGGUAUGUGUAUGGAUGAAGAAUUUUAGAAUGAAGUACUGGUGUUUUGUUAACGAAAUCUUGUCAAAUUAAUUCGAGACAAAAAAAGAAGAGGUUCUAUGAAACUUAACAAUGCAAAUUCAAUGUAUUCUUAGAAAAAAAAGCAAUCACUUGACAAUUCAACUAUGAUUCUUAAACUGAAAUGUGCACAUACAAUAUAAUUUGUUUAUGCUCACCCAUCUGUUUGUCUAUGAUUCCAUGUGAGAUAUUAAAAACAUGGCUAACCAUGACAAAUGGGUACAUGAGUCAUACGAUUUUUUAAAACCAUUCAUAGUCCACCAAUAUUACCCAAAGUUACCUUCAGAUUUGCAUAAUAUAGAAUUUAAAUAUGUGUAGGUCAAAUUGGAAAUGUCUUUUCCCUAGGUACUUUUUGUCAUAUUUAUAAGUAUGAAUAUUUUGUACCAUCCUUUUCACUUAUGUCUUAUUCCUUGAUGUUAUAAAAUAAGUUUACAUAGAAACAUUUGCAUUAGCUGUAUGGGUAUGUUAGUAUUUAUCAAACACAGCAUAUGCAUGCAUGCUAACUUGUGGUUUACAUCCUAGUAUUACAUGUAUGCGUAAAAUUUGUUCUUAUUUUAUGUUACAUCGAGAUUGUCUUAAUUCUUUCAGUCAGCUUCUUGUUAUUAAAUCUUUUGAUUGGAGUUGUAUUUCAUGUUGUCAAUCAUGAUUUAAGCAUUUAGACAGGUUUACACCUGUUCUCAUCCAUAAACUGACAAAGCCUUAAUUGGUUUCCUAUUAAAGCUUUAAAUCGAGGUCUGCAUGUUAACUCUUGUUUUGAAAUAGAUUCUAUUUGACUUAAGUUAAAUACAUGCAACAAAUGUGAAAUGUACAUGUAUUGGCAUUGUGAUAGCUAAAAUAUAUAACUCUAAUAUUUUGGCUAUAUUAUAUGCUUGAGUUAGAUUUAGCUUGUGUACUUUGAAAUAUUAUCUGACAAAUAAUGUGUUUGUAUUAUUUGAAAGUGAUAGUUGAUGUUUGAGAUGGAAGCAGGUCAUGACGUAUCAUAAAUAUUAAUUCUGUGCGAAUGUAUCAGAGUGUAAUUUAUUACUGUAAAUUCCGUAAUACUUUAAAUACUUUUUGUUUAUUGAUAAUUGAUACUUAUGUCUGAUUUUAUGUGAUAUUUGUGUACAUGUUUAUAGAAACAUCUGAAGAUGUUGUGUAUAUAGCAUGUGGUUUUGUUUGAUUGAUCAUUUAAAUAUUAUUAUCUUUCUUAAGUUGUCUUAUGAUAAUUUUGUCAAAUACAGUAUUCAUAAUCACCAUGUUUAUACAGUACUUAACACGUCGUGUUUGACUUACUUUUAGUCAUUAAUCUGUAAUUUACUUGUUACACUACUUGUCAAUUGUUCAUAAUAAACUAUUUUUCUGUGUGAA